rnacentral:rRNA from 1 species
UACGGAGGGUGCAAGCGUUAUCCGGAUUUACUGGGUUUAAAGGGUGCGUAGGUGGGUCUGUAAGUCAGUGGUGAAAUCUCCGAGCUUAACUCGGAAACUGCCAUUGAUACUAUAGACCUUGAAUUAUCUGGAGGUGAGCGGAAUAUGUCAUGUAGCGGUGAAAUGCUUAGAUAUGACAUAGAACACCAAUUGCGAAGGCAGCUCACUACGGAUUGAUUGACACUGAGGCACGAAAGCGUGGGGAUCAAACAGG